rnacentral:rRNA from 1 species
UAGGGAAUCUUCGGCAAUGGACGGAAGUCUGACCGAGCAACGCCGCGUGAGUGAAGAAGGUUUUCGGAUCGUAAAGCUCUGUUGUAAGAGAAGAACGAGUGUGAGAGUGGAAAGUUCACACUGUGACGGUAUCUUACCAGAAAGGGACGGCUAACUACGUGCCAGCAGCCGCGGUAAUACGUAGGUCCCGAGCGUUGUCCGGAUUUAUUGGGCGUAAAGCGAGCGCAGGCGGUUAGAUAAGUCUGAAGUUAAAGGCUGUGGCUUAACCAUAGUAGGCUUUGGAAACUGUUUAACUUGAGUGCAAGAGGGGAGAGUGGAAUUCCAUGUGUAGCGGUGAAAUGCGUAGAUAUAUGGAGGAACGCCGGUGGCGAAAGCGGCUCUCUGGCUUGUAACUGACGCUGAGGCUCGAAAGCGUGGGGAGCAAACAGGAUUAGAUACCCUGGUAGUCCACGCUGUAAACGAUGAGUGCUAGGUGUUAGACCCUUUCCGGGGUUUAGUGCCGUAGCUAACGCAUUAAGCACUCCGCCUGGGGAGUACGACCGCAAGGUUG